AAAAUGGUAUCGAAAAGUUGGAAGAUCGCUAUAAUCGCCGUUUCGCCCUCCAAGGCAACUAUAUGCUGAAAAAUAAAAUCUAAUUUUGCCAAAAAAAAAUGUGUUUUAGUAUGGUAGACCGGGGACUUUUCAUUUGGCCUGUUAAGUACAUGUGGACGACUUUUAUUUUCAAUAAAUGGCGCUACCAGUCACACAAGCAAUUAAACAAUCGCAAAUUCGCAAGAAAAGUUUCUUGUUGUUAUGAUUACAAUUGUGUGUUGAUCACUUUUUGCCUCCGAGAUCUAAUUCAACACUUUUCUUUGGUUCCAUGUGAAAGAUAGACUUGAUGCCAAUGCUCCACAAUAAAUUAACACCUUAAAGGUGGAAUUCGUGUAGUAAUCGAGAACUUACAGCCUCAAAUGUGCGAAUUUGUCAAAGAAAAUUUCAGGAAAAGGAUAUGAUGCUGCAACCGUAGCCAUGGCGACUAUUUUGUUGAUAUCGUUUUUAAUCGUUAAUGGCAUUCCUACAAAUGUCGAAACUAUUUUUUCUCAAGUGGUCCAUGCCUCAAAAUCAUCCCAGUGAGCCAGUUAACAUUUUUUUUACUUUAAGACUUUAGACUCAUAUUUUUCAUCGAAAAUAUUCCAAAGAUGUUAUCUUAUUUCAUUUUUUUUCACUGCUUCAAGGAAACAAUUAUGCAGUUAUUAUUCAAGAUAAAAUUCAGUAAUCAACCUCGUUCAAUAUGAAUCAAAGUUCACGUAUUUAUCAAAAAGACUUCCGAAAAUUUGUUAAUAACACAAUCGCUAAAUGACUUUAAGAAAAACAGUGUGUUUGUAUCGUCCUCUAGAGAAUAAUAACUAAAUAACAUGAAGUUACUACUCUUCUUAUUGAUAGCUGGUAAAACACUUUAUUUUCAAUCACUUUUUCCCAAUUUACGUAGGUAACAAGGUUUCGCAGGUUAUACCAAAGCUUCAUCAUUGUAUGAUGAGGCAGAGAACAUAGGAUUUGUUCAGGCAAUUGCUGUACAUGAAUUAGCUUUCGUUACUCAUAAAUGUCCAAAUGCAACUCGUCAAAAUUUGAAGGAAGAAGAAAGAAAGGCAAUUGAAUGUAUCAAAAACAUCAGAUAUAACAGUUCGUUCUGUAAUACUUUUGUCCAUCACUUCAAACCUUGUGUCCAAACAAUCUUGACAGAAGCUGCCAAAUGUGAUGAGAAUAGUGUGACUGAGAUGAAACAUACUGUACUUGAUUCGGUUAUCGCGAUAGCAGGAUAUGUGUGUGAAACAGACGGUGAACAUAUUUUAGAAAUAUUAAAUCCUUGCGUUUCGAUGAGUAUAGAAAAAAGUGAGGAAUGCAGGAAGAAAGCUCUAGAACCACUGAAUAAUUAUUCAAGAGAUAUAACCCAGUACUGUAGUAAAUACACUGACUUACGGACAUGUUUUAAUGAUCAAGUACAUCAAGAGUGUCAAAAUGAAAUUACAAAAAGUAGCAUGAGUGACUUGUUUUCUGUUGAUAUCAAGCCUUGCAAUAUUGUCAUGGAAUUUUUCUUUCAAUUGAGAAAAUACGUUCAUUAAAUUAUUUAAUGUCGAUUUGAAUAAUUAUUAAUUAAAUUUUGAAACAAUGAA